UCUUAGACUUGACAGUUUGCUCAACUAGGUUGUCUGCGUUUAUCUCAAACUGGCACGUAUCAAAUGAGGUAUAUAUGUCAGAUCAUCAGCACAUUAGGUUUGACUUAAGCACCCUAAACGAGACUUACCAGAUUUACAGUGAAAGUAACCCUAUGG